GACGAACGCUGGCGGCGUGCUUAACACAUGCAAGUCGAACGGAAAGGCCCUGCUUUUGUGGGGUGCUCGAGUGGCGAACGGGUGAGUAACACGUGAGUAACCUGCCCUUGACUUUGGGAUAACUUCAGGAAACUGGGGCUAAUACCGGAUAGGAGCUCCUGCUGCAUGGUGGGGGGUGGAAAGUUUCGGGGGGUGGGGAUGGACUCGCGACUUAUCAGCUUGUUGGUGGGGUAGUGGCUUACCAAGGCUUUGACGGGUAGCCGGCCUGAGAGGGUGACCGGCCACAUUGGGACUGAGAUACGGCCCAGACUCCUACGGGAGGCAGCAGUGGGGAAUAUUGCACAAUGGGCGGAAGCCUGAUGCAGCAACGCCGCGUGCGGGAUGACGGCCUUCGGGUUGUAAACCGCUUUCGCCUGUGACGAAGCGUGAGUGACGGUAAUGGGUAAAGAAGCACCGGCUAACUACGUG
rnacentral:rRNA from 1 species